rnacentral:ncRNA from 1 species
CUCUUAUCCAGAGAGGUGGAGGGACCGGCCCUAUGAUACCUCGGCAACCAAAAAGAACCCCUUUUAUGGUGCCAAAUCCGGCAGAGCGAAUUCUGGAAGAUGAGAG